AGAAUCAACGCUGGCGGCGUGCCUAACACAUGCAAGUCGAACGAGAAAGUGGAGCAAUCCACAAGUAAAGUGGCGCACGGGUGAGUAACACGUGACUAACCUACCCUUGAGUGGGGGGAUAACCUAGGGAAACCUGGGCUAAUACCGCAUAAUACCUACGGGUCAAAGGAGCAAUUCGCUUAAGGAGGGGGUCGCGGCCGAUUAGUUAGUUGGCGGGGUAAUGGCCCACCAAGACGAUGAUCGGUAUCCGGCCUGAGAGGGCGCACGGACACACUGGAACUGAAACACGGUCCAGACUCCUACGGGAGGCAGCAGUGGGGAAUUUUGCGCAAUGGGGGAAACCCUGACGCAGCAACGCCGCGUGGAGGAUGAAGUCCCUUGGGACGUAAACUCCUUUCGAUCGGGACGAUUAUGACGGUACCGGAAGAAGAAGCCCCGGCUAACUUCGUGCCAGCAGCCGC
rnacentral:rRNA from 1 species